CGAGCGGACCGGAUUGGGGCUGGCCUUGAUUCGGUCAGCGGCGGACGGGGGAGUAACACGUGGGGAACAUGCCGGCAAGACCGGGGUAACUCCGGGAGACCGGAGGUAAUACCCGAUAACACCGAAGAGCGCAUGGUGUUCGGUUGAAACGCGGCCUUUGGGGUGUGACUUUAGGAGGGGCCCGCGGCGCAUUAGAUAGUUGGUGAGGUAACGGCUCACCAAGGCGACAAUGGGUAACCGGCCUGAGAGGGUGACCGGCCACACUGGGACUGAGAAACGCCCCAGACUCCUACGGGAGGCAGCAGUAGGGAAUCUUCCGCAAUGGGCGAAAGCCUGACGGAGCGACGCCGCGUGAGAGAAGAAGGCCUUCGGGUCGUAAAGCUCUGUUGUGAGGGACGAAGGGGCGCCGUUCGAAGAGGGCGGCGCGG
rnacentral:rRNA from 1 species